GAAUGCUGACAUAAGUAACGAUAAAGCGGGUGAAAAGCCCGCUCGCCGGAAGACCAAGGGUUCCUGUCCAACGUUAAUCGGGGCAGGGUGAGUCGACCCCUAAGGCGAGGCCGAAAGGCGUAGUCGAUGGGAAACGGGUUAAUAUUCCCGUACUUGGUGUUACUGCGAAGGGGGGACGGAGAAGGCUAUGUUGGCCGGGCGACGGUUGUCCCGGUUUAAGCGUGUAGGUGUGUGUUCCAGGUAAAUCCGGUUCACUUUAACACUGAGGCGUGACGACGAGGCACUACGGUGCUGAAGCAACAAAUGCCCUGCUUCCAGGAAAAGCCUCUAAGCAUCAGGUAACAUCAAAUCGUACCCCAAACCGACACAGGUGGUCAGGUAGAGAAUACCAAGGCGCUUGAGAGAACUCGGGUGAAGGAACUAGGCAAAAUGGUGCCGUAACUUCGGGAGAAGGCACGCUGACACGUAGGUGAAGUGAUUUACUCAUGGAGCUGAAGUCAGUCGAAGAUACCAGCUGGCUGCAACUGUUUAUUAAAAACACAGCACUGUGCAAACACGAAAGUGGACGUAUACGGUGUGACGCCUGCCCGGUGCCGGAAGGUUAAUUGAUGGGGUCAGCGCAAGCGAAGCUCCUGAUCGAAGCCCCGGUAAACGGCGGCCGUAACUAUAACGGUCCUAAGGUAGCGAAAUUCCUUGUCGGGUAAGUUCCGACCUGCACGAAUGGCGUAAUGAUGGCCAGGCUGUCUCCACCCGAGACUCAGUGAAAUUGAACUCGCUGUGAAGAUGCAGUGUACCCGCGGCAAGACGGAAAGACCCCGUGAACCUUUACUAUAGCUUGACACUGAACAUUGAGCCUUGAUGUGUAGGAUAGGUGGGAGGCUUUGAAGUGUGGACGCCAGUCUGCAUGGAGCCGACCUUGAAAUACCACCCUUUAAUGUUUGAUGUUCUAACGUGGACCCGUGAUCCGGGUUGCGGACAGUGUCUGGUGGGUAGUUUGACUGGGGCGGUCUCCUCCUAAAGAGUAACGGAGGAGCACGAAGGUUGGCUAAUCCUGGUCGGACAUCAGGAGGUUAGUGCAAUGGCAUAAGCCAGCUUGACUGCGAGCGUGACGGCGCGAGCAGGUGCGAAAGCAGGUCAUAGUGAUCCGGUGGUUCUGAAUGGAAGGGCCAUCGCUCAACGGAUAAAAGGUACUCCGGGGAUAACAGGCUGAUACCGCCCAAGAGUUCAUAUCGACGGCGGUGUUUGGCACCUCGAUGUCGGCUCAUCACAUCCUGGGGCUGAAGUAGGUCCCAAGGGUAUGGCUGUUCGCCAUUUAAAGUGGUACGCGAGCUGGGUUUAGAACGUCGUGAGACAGUUCGGUCCCUAUCUGCCGUGGGCGCUGGAGAACUGAGGGGGGCUGCUCCUAGUACGAGAGGACCGGAGUGGACGCAUCACUGGUGUUCGGGUUGUCAUGCCAAUGGCACUGCCCGGUAGCUAAAUGCGGAAGAGAUAAGUGCUGAAAGCAUCUAAGCACGAAACUUGCCCCGAGAUGAGUUCUCCCUGAGACUUAGAGUCUCCUGAAGGAACGUUGAAGACGACGACGUUGAUAGGCCGGGUGUGUAAGCGCAGCGAUGCGUUGAGCUAACCGGUACUAAUGAACCGUGAGGUUUAACCUUACAACGCCGAAG
rnacentral:rRNA from 1 species